rnacentral:rRNA from 2 species
GAGUUUGAUCAUGGCUCAGGACGAACGCUGGCGGCGUGCCUAAUACAUGCAAGUCGAGCGGGGUCGAGUUAAAGAAGCUUGCUUCUUAAUUACCUAGCGGCGGACGGGUGAGUAACACGUAGGCAACCUGCCCUUCAGACUGGGGAUAACUACCGGAAACGGUAGCUAAUACCGGAUAAUUUCUUUUCUCACCUGAGAGAAGGAUAAAAGGCGGAGCAAUCUGUCACUGAAGGAUGGGCCUGCGGCGCAUUAGCUAGUUGGUAAGGUAACGGCUUACCAAGGCGACGAUGCGUAGCCGACCUGAGAGGGUGAACGGCCACACUGGGACUGAGACACGGCCCAGACUCCUACGGGAGGCAGCAGUAGGGAAUCUUCCGCAAUGGACGCAAGUCUGACGGAGCAACGCCGCGUGAGUGAUGAAGGUUUUCGGAUCGUAAAGCUCUGUUGCCAGGGAAGAACGUUUCGUAGAGUAACUGCUACGGAAGUGACGGUACCUGAGAAGAAAG